CAACCUCAACUCAUAUGGGACUACCCCCUGAAUUUAAGCAUAUAGAGGGAGAAAAGAAACUAACAAGGAUUUUCUUAGUAGCGGCGAGCGAAAAGAAAUCAGUUCAGCACUAAGUCACUUUGUCUAUAUGGCAAAUGUGAGAUGCAGUGUACGGAACAUCAACAUUCUAGUAUGAGAAGUUAACGAUUUAAGUCCUUCUUAAAUGAGGCCAUUUACCCAUAGAGGGUGCCAGGCCCGUAUAACGUUAAUGAUUACUAGAUGGUGUUUCCAAAGAGUCGUGUUGCUUGAUAGUGCAGCACUAAGUGGGUGGUAAACUCCAUCUAAAACUAAAUAUAACCAUGAGACCGAUAGUAAACAAGUACCGUGAGGGAAAGUUGAAAAGAACUCUGAAUAGAGAGUUAAAUAGUACGUGAAACUGCUUAGAGGUUAAGCCCGAUGAACCUGAAUAUCCGUUAUGGAAAAUUCAUCAUUAGAAUUGUAAUAUUUUAAACAAUAUUAUAAUAAUAGUGUGCAUUUUUUCCAUAUAAGGACAUUGUAAUCUAUUAGCAUAAAUAUUUAUCAUAAAAUUAUGUCUGAUUGCUUAUUUGAAUUAUAUGCUUGGCAUUUUAACAUAAAAUAAAAGAUAUAAAUUUGAUAAAGUGCUGAUAGAUUUAUAUGAUUACAGUGCGUUAAUUUUUCGGAAUUAUAUAAUGGCAUAAUUAUCAUUGAUAUUUGUGUUUAUUAUAUGCAUUUGUAUGAUUAACAAUGCGAAAGAUUCAGGAUACCUUCGGGACCCGUCAGGAAA
rnacentral:ncRNA from 1 species